rnacentral:sRNA from 3 species
UGCAUCUGAAGCCUGACGAGGAUGAGAACCUCCGGGGGCAAGAGGUUCGACCCGAGCGAAGCGAGAGAACGUUGCGUCAGCAACGGCCCGCAGGGCGAGUCAUCCUCUAUCACCGGCAG